UUGGAUAAAUAAUUCUGUUGAAAACUCCAUUGGCAUGCAACUGGCUAAGUAUGAUACUGCAAAAGAAGUUUGGGAACACUUGGGGAAACUUUACACUCAGUCUAAUUUUGCAAGACAAUAUCAAUUGGAAAUGGAUAUUCGUUCUCUCAAUCAGAGGGACAUGAGUAUUCAGGAAUUCUAUACUUCCAUGUCAGAUUUGUGGGAUCAGUUGGCUCUCACUGAGUCUAUACAACUUAAGGCUUUUGCUCCCUACAUUGCUCGGAGAGAAGAACAACGCUUGGUUCAAUUUUUGAUGGCUCUUCGUGAUGAUUUUGAGGGCUUGCGUGGCAACAUUCUACAUCGCAAUCCCCUGCCCUCUGUGGAUUCUGUUGUUAGUGAACUUCUUGCUGAGGAAAUUCGACAUAAGUCAGGAACAGUUAAAGGCACUCAAUCUGUAUUGGCUGCUCACUCUCGUCCUCAACAAAGAAGCCAUGGAAGACCUCCGAGCUAUUAUCAGAAUAAGAAUCCAAUCUCUGAUACGAGCAUUUGCAACUACUGCAAGCAACCUGGUCAUUGGAAGGCUCAGUGCCCUGAAUUGGCAAACAAGUCACACACUACAGCUGGUCGUCCUCCUCCUACUUUUGGCCAGAAUCAAUCUUAUAGACAUCCCAAACCUCCUCACACUGCUGCUGCCACAUCUGAAUCUACACAGAUAGAUUCUGGAAUCUCUACUUCCACAUCAAAUGAUCUCUUUGAGAAGUUUCAAAAGUUCAUCAACUCUCAACCUCAUGCUAUGACUGCUGCAGCAGGUUUGUCGACCUCAGGUUCCACAGGUACAUCUUCUUCUUCUGCUUGGGUUUUAGAUUCUGGAGCUACCAACCAUAUGUCUCCCAAUGCAGAUACUUUUGCUUCCAUUAGUCCAUCACAUUCCAUAUCUGUUGCCACAGCUGAUGGAACUCAUAUAUCAUCUUCUGGAAUUGGUCAUGUUAUCUCACAUAAUAUUUCUCUUCCACAUGUUUAUCAUAUUCCUAAACUUGCCUUGAAUUUAGCCUCUGUUAGUAAAAUUUGUGAUAAAUAUUCUGCUGCUGUCACAUUUCUUCCUGAUUCUUGUCAUAUUCAGGAUCUACAUUCUCGGAGGGAGAUUGGGACAGGCCAUAGGCAGGGCGGACUAUACAUUUUGGAUCAUCUUCGACCCCCAGGAGUUGCUGCCUCUAGUAUUGACUUGUCCAAUUUUCAUUUGAAUUCGUCAUCUUCUAGUUUUUAUUUAUGGCAUUCUCGUCUUGGACAUGUUUCUUCUUCUCGUUUAAACUAUAUGGCUAAUAAUGGAUCCUUAGGGUCCAUCAAGAGUCAUGAUAUAUCUUCUUGUAGUGGUUGUAAACUUGCAAAAUUUUCUGCCUUACCUUUUCAUCACAGUGAUUCUGUUUCUCAUUCUCCUUUUGACUUGAUUCAUUCUGAUGUUUGGGGACCCUCCCCCAUUGCUACAAAAGGGGGGUCAAGAUAUUAUGUCUCAUUUAUUGAUGAUCAUACUCGAUAUUGUUGGGUUUAUCUUAUGAAACAUCGUUCUGAUUUUCUAGGAAUUUAUCAAGCUUUUCGUGCUCUUGUCAAAACUCAAUUCUCUUCUGUUAUUAAGUGUUUUAGGUGUGACUUGGGUGGGGAAUAUACUUCCAAUAGCUUCAGAGAGUUGCUUGCUAAUGAUGGUACUAUACAUCAAAGUUCUUGCACUGACACACCACAACAAAAUGGUGUGGCAGAAAGAAAGCAUCGUCACAUUGUUGAAACAGCCCGCUCUCUACUUUUGUCUGCCUCUGUUCCCAAUGAGUUUUGGGGAGAGGCUACUCUUACCUCUGUUUACUUGAUAAAUAGGAUCCCAUCUGCCCUUACCAAAGGUGUGUCUCCUUUUGAGAAACUUUUUGGCUAUGCCCCUGACUACACUCAUCUGCGUGUGUUUGGAUGUGCUUGCUUCGUUCUUCGCCCUCAUGUUGAGCGAAAUAAGUUAUCCUCUCGUUCUGCCUUGUGUAUUUUCCUAGGGUAUGGGGAAGGUCAAAAGGGUUAUAGAUGUUUUGAUCCUGUUAGUCAUAAGUUGUAUGUGUCCCGUCAUGUCUUUUUUAUCGAGCAUAUUCCUCUAUAUUCCAUUCCUUCAUCUCCUAACAAUAUGACUAGAUCUGACCUCAUACAUGUUGACCCGUUUGUUAGCGAUUGUGAGCUUGAACAUGCAGGUACUAAUGAUGAUGUUACUAAUGAUAUUGCCCAACCUGCCUCUCCUGCUCCUUCUCCACCUCCUGUGAAUGUGGAUCCACCUCUUCGUCGUUCUACCCGUGUCAGUAAGUCUACUCGUCUUCCUGAUUUUGCUUAUUCUGCAUAUUCUCCUUCUUUCACUGCUUUUCUUUCUUCAAUCCACAAAAUUGUUGAACCCAUCUCCUAUAAGGAGGUCUUCUCUUAAUCCUUUGUGGCAACGGGCUAUGGAUGAUGAACUUCAAGCUCUACACAAGACUGGUACUUGGGAGUUGGUACCCCUUCCACAAGGAAAGCAUGCC
rnacentral:lncRNA from 1 species